GGUUCCAUAGUGUAGUGGUUAGCGCUCUGGACUCUCACCCCAGGGGUCUGGGUUCAAAUCCCAUUGGGACCU